CAAAGUGAGGCAGAUGAUCGCGUGCGCCUCAGGCGCAUGAGGAAAGUCCGAACUCCAGAGGGCGGGAUGCCCCAUAACGUGGGGGAGGCGCGAGCCUAUGGAAAGUGCCACAGAAAAUAUACCGUCCGCCGAAGGCGGAUAAGGGUGAAAAGGUGGGGUAAGAGCCCACCGGUUCGUUGGCAACAACGGACGCAUGGUAAACCCCAUCCGGAGAAAGACCAAAUAGGGGAGAAGAAGCUGCCCGUUUCGUUCGACUCCCGGGUAGGUCGCUCGAGGUCGCCGGCAACGGCGAUCCCAGAUAAAUGAUCAUCAAAACAGAAUUCGGCUUAUGGCUCAAUUUGAAUU
rnacentral:RNase_P_RNA from 1 species